UAUCUCUGUAGAGUCUGCAUAUCAAUAAGCGGAGGAAAAGAAACUAACUAGGAUUCCCUCAGUAACGGCGAGUGAAGCGGGAAGAGCUCAAAUUUGAAAUCUUCAAGGUUUUACCUUGACGAAUUGUAGUUUAAAGAAGUGUUUACUGUUGGAGUUUUGGUAAAAGUUCUUUGGAAUAGGACAUCAUAGAGGGUGAGAAUCCCGUAUUUGACCAUUAUUUCCAGCUUUGUGAUACACUUUCAAAGAGUCGGAUUGUUUGGGAAUGCAGUCCAAAAUGGGUGGUAAAUUUCAUCUAAAGCUAAAUAUUGGCGAGAGACCGAUAGCGAACAAGUACCGUGAGGGAAAGAUGAAAAGAACUUUGAAAAGAGAGUUAAACAGUACGUGAAAUUGUCAAAAGGGAAGCGUUUGACACCAGUGUUGUUUCUACGAAAAUCAAUUUAUGAUGGCUUGAUGCUAAGCUUUAAGACUUUAUCCGCUUGUUGUUUAGUUUUCUUGUCUUUGUGAAUGCACUUUUCGUGGAACAAGUCAACAUCAAUUUCUUUUGCUGUAAAAGGGUAAGAGGAAGGUGGCUUCGGCUUCGGUUGAAGUGUUUAUAGCCUUUUAUCUCUGCAGUCGGAGAGAUUGAGGUCUGCAGCGUAGACUCUUCGGGGUUAGAUACGUCGGUGCUAAGCUAUAGCUUUUCAUAGACAACUUGUUGACUAUGUUUAGUCAUGUGGCUUACCCGCUGGCGCUAUUUUACCUACGCUUAGGAUGUUGAGUCAUCACACAUCUCU
rnacentral:rRNA from 1 species